UGAGCCUCGGGCGAUGGAACCCGCCCGGGGCUUGAGCCCCGAACCGCAAACCGCUGACAGUUCCUGCACCAUG
rnacentral:ncRNA from 2 species